GACGAACCGUGCGAACGUUGUUCGGAAUCACUGGGCUUAAAGGGUGCGUAGGCGGGCUCGUUAGUCGGGGGUGAAAUCCCACGGCCCAACCGUGGAAGUGCCCCCGAUACUGCGAGUCUAGAGGGGAACAGGGGGCAAUGGCGGAACGUUACCGGUUCGGGAGCGGUGAAAUGCGUAGAGAUCGGAAAGAACACCAACGGCGAAAGCACUCUGCUGGGCCGACACUGACACUGAGAGACGAAAGCUAGGGGAGCGAAUGGG
rnacentral:rRNA from 1 species